ensembl:lncRNA
UGCGUGGGGGCACCGGUUUUGAAAUUUUCAUCCCAGGCCCAGGGAUGAUGGAGAUGGAGCAGAAGGCAUGUCAGUGGCUGCUCUCAGGGUAGGAGGUGUGCAGGUUCCUCAGUGCCCAGAGACAGCCUGGUGCUUGAAUGUUUCAUGCUGAGAACCAGCCUGAGAGCAUUAUCAGCAGAUGGCCUCCACGCUGAAAGAUGUUUCAGUAAUUUCCAGAAAACAAUGAUGACAACAAUAACAGGAAGAAGACACCUACACAGAAACAGCCAAAGAAUGUGAUGGCAUUGAGUGACUUCCAGAGUCCUGAUCUCAAGAGGCCCUGCAGUAUGCACCUUUGCCCUUUUGCUUCUCUGUCCUGAGACCAUGAUGGAAGGAAGUCAGUCUAACUUGCUGGAAGAUGAGAGGCCGCAUGGAGGAAAGCCAAGACCCCCAGCCCACUGCCAGCACCAACUGCCAGAUACCAUUGUUAUUUUGUUCCAUCUAUUUGGGUGUGAGAAAAAAUUCAGUUUCACUCUGGCUGUCUUUGAUUCCUGGUGUUCUGGAAGGAUGAGGCCACUGGGGGAGAACUGAUGCUCACAAUCCCCUACUACAAUGGGUAGACAAAGAAGUGACCAAUAGUCUUGUAAAAAUGACUUUGGUUUCAAGUACUUGAUAUAAAAGACACUGUGGUUUCCUCCUUGCCCUCUUUGGAUAACUCACUCUGGGAGAAACUGGCCUCCAAGUUGUGAGGACACUCAAGCAGCCCUUUAGGGGAGGAUCCCAUGGGAAGUAACUAAAAUCUCCUGUCAAGAAUCACCAUGUACUUUCAACCAUGUGAACAACCUUGAAAGUGGAACUUCUAGCCCCAGUUUUAAACAUUCUAAUGACUACAACAGGGCUGACAUCCUGGCUGUCAGAAUGAUACACUUGAGCUACUCCUACAUUAAUGAUCAAACAAACUGUAUGAGAUAAUACAUGUUCAUUGUUUUUUUAAUCCACUGUGACUUGAGGUAACUUGUACAGUGAUAGCUAACUAAUACACCAUUUCAUACUGCUACAUUGACUACUGUUUAGGUUAUAUAAGAGCAAAAACUGGAUUUCAGGUGAGAGUUUGCUGAGUGGCAGAAUAAUGAACAGUCAUGAUCAGUUGACUAUUGUUGCUGUUUUUGAGAACCUCUGACCUCAAGUGAUCUGAUUCCAAUCUGACUAUCUGUCACAUCUCACAGAAAACUCAUAGCCACACCAGGUUAUUAGUACUGUGUUAAAAAUGUAAAUUAUCAUUUAUUGUAUACUCCCAGUGUACUGGGCCCAUUCUCGAAUAAUUUUCAAGACCACUCUAUGAAAAAGGUACUAGUUUUAGUUUCAUUGUACUCUGAUCAGGAAACUAUUUGCCAUGGCUGAUGUCCCCACCAAAAUUCAGGUUGAAAUUUAAUCCCUGGUCUGAGGUAUUAAGAGAUGGGACCUUUAAGAGGGGAUUAGGUCAUGAGGCCUCUGACUUCAUAGAGAGGAUUAAUCCACUUAUAGAUUAAUGGGCCAGUGAGUAAUCUUGAGAAUGAGUUUGUUAUAAAAGCCAAUUUGACUCUUUCUGUUGUUUGUGCUCCUCUCACCAUGUGAUGUCCUGUACCAUCAGGGGGCUCUGCCGAAGAAGGACCUCACUAAGUGUAGCCUCUUGAACAUGGACCUCCUGGCCUCUAGAACCAUGAGAUGAAUAAAACUUCAUUCUUUAUAAAUUUCCCACUCUCAAGUGUUCUGUUACAGCAGGAGACAGACCAAAAUACUUCUUGGGAAAGAUUACACAGUUAGAGGAUAUGAAGUGAGCAUGCGUGACUUUGCAGUCUGAGCUUCUCAGACAUCUGUUUUUUAGAGCUCCUCCCUGUCUUUGGCACAGGGGAGGUGAUAGUUGAGUUAUGUCUUGAAAUAGAAGUAGGUGUUCACCUGCUAGAGAAAGGAGAAGAGACCAUUAGGAAGAGGGACCAAUAUGGGAAGUGAAAACGGGGCACCAACGAAGUGAGAGUAAACUAGUAUUUGAACUCAAGUUCAUCCAGUUCUAAAAGCUGUCAAGAAAUGGAAAGCUUGUGUGGCAAAGAGUACACAAAAGAGAGCAAACACAGAUUACAAUUUUUCUUUCAACAAAUGGAAAUGCAGUCCUAUUGUCUUCUGGUUCCCAUUGUUGCUGAUGGAAAAUCAAUUGUCUAAUUCCUGUUCUUUUUUAAGAUAAUUCAGCUCCCAACUGUUUUUAAUUUUUUUCCUUUAUCUUUGAUUUUCAGGAGGCUUUUAGGUUUUAAAAGUACUGUGUCUAGGUAUGGAUUAUUUAUUUAUUUAUUUAGUUUUAUUUAUUCUGCUUGGGAUUUGUAGGACUUCUUGAAUCUUCUUUUUUUUGGUACCGGGGGGUCAAACUUGGGUCCUUCCGCUUGCGAGGCAGGUGGCAGAACCACU